GAUUAAAAAGCUUUAAGCAUAUAAAUUUUAAUUAUAAGAUAUCAAGUAAAUUGAUUUUAAUCA
rnacentral:tRNA from 1 species